GCCAGACUCUGGAUGCUGCCCUCAUAUCUGGAAGAAGAGCAAUGCACUGCAAGGGCUUCUGAAGAGAGCAGGGCAUGCUACAGAUACAGUGGUAGGAAUGUGCCUGCAAUCUGGGUGAGACUGGAUUCCCUCCAGAACUGCCUGUUAUCCUCAUUAGGACAGAAUUACCACUUCUUCCAACCGGCCACUGGAUCUCCUUUUGGAUGUCAAACACAGGAGAAAAGCAGAGGCCCUGAACUCUGGAAAUGGAUUAUCCAGUGGUACCCACCUUCCCUUGCAGUCCAGGAAUAAAUGUGUGACCCUGGCCUGACAGUGCUAUAUAGAGGUGUUAGAAUGACAGCUUUGGAGGCUGAAGUCUCCUCUUUGCUCAGCAGUGGA
rnacentral:lncRNA from 12 species